rnacentral:rRNA from 1 species
UACGUAGGGCGCAAGCGUUAUCCGGAAUUAUUGGGCGUAAAGCGCUCGUAGGCGGUUUGUCGCGUCUGCCGUGAAAAUCCGGGGCUCAACUCCGGACUUGCAGUGGGUACGGGCAGACUAGAGUGUGGUAGGGGAGACUGGAAUUCCUGGUGUAGCGGUGAAAUGCGCAGAUAUCAGGAGGAACACCGAUGGCGAAGGCAGGUCUCUGGGCCACUACUGACGCUGAGAAGCGAAAGCAUGGGGAGCGAACAGG